UACGGAGGGGGCAAGCGUUGUUCGGAAUUACUGGGCGUAAAGGGCGCGUAGGCGGUUUGCUAAGUUGGAUGUGAAAACUCUGGGCUUAACCCAGAGCCUGCAUCCAAAACUGGCAAACUUGAGUACUGGAGGGGAAAGCGGAAUUCCUGGUGUAGCGGUGAAAUGCGUAGAUAUCAGGAGGAACACCGGUGGCGAAGGCGGCUUUCUGGACAGUAACUGACGCUGAGGCGCGAAAGCUAGGGGAGCAAACAGG
rnacentral:rRNA from 1 species